AACAAAAUGAUGUCCGGUCAUGGCAAGUUCCAACUUCGGGUGUAAAAGUCUCCAGUGGAACAGCAGAAGAAGCUGCUAGGAUUGCUGCUGACAUUGUUGCUGAUGCAGAAAAUAAGCGUUGCUUGGAAGUUGCAGCAGUCAGAGAUGCAGAAAUGAAGCUAAGAAUGGUUGACGAUGCAGAGUCAAUGUUACAAAUUAUCAAAGAGAUCUAUGAACAUUGUUUACAAGGUGAAAUUAUUCUCUUGGCUUGAUCACCAUGUGCGAUGGCUUGUAUAUACUGCUCGUUGAGAUGCCGAGAUGCUUUUCAUUUUCUGAUAGCAGUUGGUUCCAAACUUUAGGGUGCCAACCUAUUUACUUUCCUUUAGAAGUAUACUUGAGAAAAAUAAUGGAGCUUCAGAGACUAUGAUCGUUGAUAUCUUGUGUAUCCUUCCCAGUUUAAGCUCUUUAGCAGAAACUACAGACUAGGUUAUGUUUCAAAUUUCAAAAUCCAGUUCAUAGAUUUGCUAUUUGACCUUUUCGCUCAUGCUUUAGCGAGAGGAAGCUAUAUAAAUAAGAAUUUUAACGUUAU
rnacentral:misc_RNA from 1 species